ensembl:lncRNA novel transcript
CUCAGCCUCCCGAGUAGCUGGGACUACAGGCGCCCGCCAUCACGCCCGGCUGCUUUUUUUGUUUUAGUAGAGAGGAGGUUUCACCGUGUUAGCCAGGAUGGUCUCAAUCUCCUGACCUCGUGAUCCGCCCGCCUCGGCCUCUCAAAGUGCUGGGAUUACACGCGUGAGCCACCGCGCCUGGCCUGAAGAAAGUUAAGUGAAGACAGAACAAGAAAACAAACCAAGAAUUUCCCCUCACCAGCCACCAGCUCUGCCAGCAACUUGAUCUUAGACUUCCCAGCCUCCGUAACGUCUUCCUCCUAAAAACCUGUAACCUCAAUCUAAUCAUGAGAAAAGACAUCAGGCAAAUCCCAACUGAGGGAGAUUUUACAUAGUACCUGAGCAGUACUCCUCAAAACUGUCAAGGUCAUCAAAAACAAAGAAGUAUGAAAAACUGUCACAGCCAAGAGGAACUUAAGGAAACAUAAUAAUUAAAGCCUCUGCUUAUAAUCUGUCAUGGAUUGGAAAACUAGAAAAAACAGUUUACAGAGUAUAACAAACUUUGGAGGAGUUAAUCGACUCUAAGUAAAAGAGUAUCUAGCACGGCUGUGGAACAAAGGAGAGACUCACAAACUGUUGAAAGAAUAAAUGAAUGAAUGAAUUCUGUUCAUGAGCUUUAAUAAAACAGCUCUGAGUAGUAACAGUGGAUCAAAUUUAGGCUUCUUGAUGCAGGCAUGGUGUAGAUUACUACUUCUGUAUUGUCCCAGGAGCUCAGCACAUUCCUGCAGAGAUGAUAGGAGCUCAUCUGAUACUUGUCAGCUUUGAAUAAACUCCAGUCCCCAAGAGAGAGAAUGAGAAUCACCGGAAUACGAAACUUCCCUGUUGGACUUCCCAACAUUCUUGAAUGCACCAAGAUAGCCUCUUGCUGUGAGAUUAAUAAAUGAAUAAAUGCCUCCAUAUUUUUCAAAUCUGUGAAGUUAACAACAUGUAGAUUUUUUUGCAUAUUUAAAAACUGCAACUAAAUCUUAAUGCCUCUGAAGCAGAUGGAAGAAAAUAAUAGGCUUCCAUUAACUGUGUCAAAUUGUAUAGGUCUUGGCCAUCACUGGUCCUGUUGUGAUGAAGGUUUUUUGCCCUUGGAUAUAAUUUAAUUUUCAAUUCUUCUAAUUAUGGUACUUCAGAACAUCAAUAUUUGAGAUGAACUUCUCUAGUGUCAAGGACUGAUUUGAGUUGUGUAAACCCUGAAUAUCUGAGACAGGUCUCGAUUAUUUUAGAAAGUUUAUUUUGCCAAGGUUGAGGAUGUGUGCCUGUGACACGGCCUCGGGAGGUCCUGAGGACAUGUGCUCAAGGUGGUCAGAGCACAGCUUUGCUUUAUACAUUUUAGAGAGACAUGAGACAUCAACCGACAUAUGUAAGAUGAACAUUGGUUCCAUCUGGAAAGGCGAGACAACUUCAAACGAGGAGGGGGCUUCCAGGUCAUAGGUAGAUAAGAGACAAAUGGCUGCAUUCUUUUGAGUUUCUGAUUAGCCUUUCCAAAGGAGGCAAUUAGAGUGAGCAAAAUGAACAAAAUCAAUUAUUUUGAUUCUGAACAAAAUGGGAGGCUGGUUUUCCCUAAGCAGUUCCCAGCUUGACUUUUCCCUUUAGCUGAGGGAUUUGGGGGGCCCAAGAUUUAUUUUUCUUUCACCGUUGUAUCAAACUACACAGGCGGCCUUGGAAACCAUCACAGUUGAGAGUAGGUAACGCCCAUUUGUUGCAUAGUUUUGUGCUCCACACUCUUAUCUACAAAAUUAUGAAUUUUUUUACAUAUAUUAAUUUCAGAAAAACUAAAAAUAAAACAAAGUAGUUUCAAACUAGUAUUGUUUUUAUAUCUUAAAAAUAAAGCUUUAUAUACUCUCCUUACCUCAUCAUAAA